UCUAAAUACCUCUCUGUCUCUCACUCACUCACCUCUCUGUCUCUCACUCACUCACCUCUCUGUCUCUAGGUGAGUGAGUGAGAGACAGAGAGGUGAGUGAGUGAGAGACAGAGAGGUGAGUGA
rnacentral:pre_miRNA from 1 species